rnacentral:rRNA from 1 species
GACAGAGGGUGCAAACGUUGUUCGGAUUUACUGGGCGUAAAGGGUGUGUAGGCUGUUCAACAAGUCAGGAGUGAAAUCCCCAGGCUCAACCUGGGAAUUGCUUUUGAUACUGUUGGGCUUGAGUACGGAAGAGGUGAGUGGAAUUCCCAGUGUAGAGGUAGAAUUCGUAGAUAUUGGGAGGAACACCAGUGGCGAAGGCGGCUCACUGGUCCGUAACUGACGCUGAGACACGAAAGCGUGGGGAGCAAACAGG